CCCUUAGAUGUCCGGGGCCGCACGCGCGCUACACUGAAGGAAUCAGCGUGGCUUUCUCCCUGACCCGAAAGGGUUGGGAAACCCGUUGAAUCUCCUUCGUGAUAGGGAUUGGGGCUUGAAAUUGUUCCCCAUGAACGAGGAAUUCCCAGUAAGCGCGAGUCAUAAGCUCGCGUUGAUUACGUCCCUGCCCUUUGUACACACCGCCCGUCGCUACUACCGAUUGAAUGUUCCGGUGAGCUCUUCGGACUGCGCGGUCUGCAGUUUCUGCGUUCCGUGCGGAAAGUUGUGCAAACCUUAACAUUUAGAGGAAGGAGAAGUCGUAACA
rnacentral:rRNA from 1 species